rnacentral:rRNA from 1 species
GAAAGGGAAAAAAAAUAACUACCAACACAACAAACCACAUCUGAAACGAAACUCAAAUCCAACAUUAUGUUUUACGGAAUCUUAGGGUUGGGGGAAGCUAUAUCAGCAGUAAAAAAACUUUGCGUCCCAACUCCCCCUUCGGAGAAGAAACGACCUGACCAAGGCGAUGAUUGGUAGGCCGGCCUGGAAGGGGGAUCGGCCACAAGGGGCUGAGCACACGGGCCCUUUACUCCUACGGGAGGCAGCAGUGGGGAAAUAUUUGGACAAUGGGCCAAAGAGUCUGAUCCAAGCAAUUCCUGUGGGCACGAUGAAGUUUUUCGGAAAGUAAAAGUGCUUUUCAGUUGGGGAAGAAAAAAAAUUGACGGUUCCAACAGAAAGAAGUGACGGGCUAAAAUACGUGCCAACAACCCCGGUAAAUACGUAUGUCACAAGCGUUAUCCGGAUUUAUUGGGCGUAAAGCGCGUCUAGGGUGGUUAUAUAAAUCUGAUGGGGAAAUGCAAGGCUCAACUCUGUAUUGCGUUGGAAACUGUGGUACUAGAGUACUGGAGAGGUAAGCGGAAACUACAAGUGUGGAGGUGAAAUUCGUAGAUAUUUGUAGGAAUGCCGAUGGGGAAGCCAGCUUACUGGACAGAUACUGACGCUGAAAGCGCGAAAGCGUGGGUAGCAAACAGG